UAAAGAUGGAACAAAAUAAGGAAGCUUUGCUGAAGUAAAACAGCAAAAUCUUAGUAUGCCAGUACUCUGCUAUCAGAAAGGAUGCCAGGAAUUCUUCUGGUCUAGCAUGUUCCUUCAGUUUAAUAAUAAUUUAGUGUUUAGAAAGCACUUUGGGGUGCUUGAAUGAAAGUAUUAUUGGUGUGGCUGACAACAUGAUUGGUGGCUAGGGUCUGAUCCAAAGCCCGUUGAUUUAAUGGAAAGAUUCCCAAUGACUUCAGUGGUCUCGAAUACAGAGGUGAUAGAUCUUCUAGGUAGGGAGAUUCAGAAACUCACAGUUUAGAUGGUGCAAUGCUUACUGUACAAACAACUCAUGAAAAGUCAACAUGUUUUACAAGUAAAUAAUUUACAACUGCUGUGCGGAAUACGGAAUAAUAUUUCACACUAAGUGACAUUAAUUAGG